CGUAGGGUGCGAGCGUUAAUCGGGAUUACUGGGCGUAAAGCGUGCGCAGGCGGUUUUGUAAGACAGAUGUGAAAUCCCCGGGCUCAACCUGGGACCUGCAUUUGUGACUGCAAGGCUAGAGUACGGUAGAGGGGGAUGGAAUUCCGCGUGUAGCAGUGAAAUGCGUAGAUAUGCGGAGGAACACCGAUGGCGAAGGCAAUCCCCUGGACCUGUACUGACGCUCAUGCACGAAAGCGUGGGGAGCAAACAGGAUUAGAUACCCUGGUAGUCCACGCCCUAAACGAUGUCAACUGGUUGUUGGGUCUUUACUGACUCAGUAACGAAGCUAACGCGUGAAGUUGACCGCCUGGGGAGUACGGCCGCAAGGUUG
rnacentral:rRNA from 1 species